CUAGAAUACAGGAAAUUCCAUAUUCACAAAAGUUUGUUAACCAGCAAUUGUAUAAUUUACCAAAUCAAUCUAUCUGUCUGUCUGUCUGUCUAUCUAUUAGAUUAGGGGUGAGGUCACAAAACAUCGCAUUGCUAUGCUCUCAUAAUCGACUCGCAAAAUUUGGCCAAAAUACAAGAGAUAAAACUUAUCUCUGUUUGAAAAUGUAUCCUUCUUUGCUGUGCUGGUCUAAAUUUAGUAAGUUAGCGAACAACUCACAACAUAUCUCUAUUUAAUGAAUACCAGCUUAUCAUUAAUAUUCAGUGUAGACAGCGGCUUCUAAACCAUCUUCAGCCACGCAAGCAGCCUGAGC